AUCCCUUUGUGGUUCAUUAAGUGUGAUGACUGAGUUUUUGCACUCCUGUGUGAGAUGUACCUCCCUCAAAUCUUAUGACAUAUACAUAUUACCUGACUCACA
rnacentral:snoRNA from 1 species